AGCAGAGGACCAGAGGCGGACCAGAAGGAGAGAGACUCCGCGCUGCUCGGAUCUGUCCUCCGUGGAUGUUAGCUGCUGAGCUAACACAAAGUCAGAUAAUGGCGGCAGACGGACGGAGGGAUCCGGACAAGGCGCUGCGUGCUGGGGGAGCUCAGCCGCUCCCCCCGGCCACGAGAAGGCCGCGGCGGGUCUGUGAAAAGCCGUUUUCAAACUCCCGGAAAGCGACAGUUAGCGAAGGGACAGACAGCGGACCCUCAGGAGCUAAAGGUGAAGCCUGAGCAGGACGUCACUCUUCAGUGUCGGGCUCCCAGAGGUUCCUCCAUCACACUGGUGGAGUGGAACAGAGCUGACCUGAGGUCAGACGGUUACCUGUUCUUUUACCGUAACGAGCGCUCGUACGAAAACUUCCAGCAUCCGUCUUUUCGUGGUCGAGUGAAGCUGAGGGAUCCAGAGAUGAAGGACGGAGACGCUUCUGUUGUUCUGAGGAACGUCACCGUCAACGACACCGGAACAUACGAGUGUCGAAUCAUAAUCAUCAACACAGGACGCGCUGAGGCGGAGCCCCCUGUGAUCAAACACCUCAUCAACCUCAAAGUUACAGAGCCAGCUGGAAACACCUGGAGUGGAGUAAACAGGGGUGGAUAUGUUGGACUGGUCGUCCCGUCAGCUGCUGCUGCUGUUGGCUUUCUUGCUGUUGUUGUUUGUAUUUUCUGUUUUAUUUGUAAGAAACGUGAGCAGAAGUCAUUCAGAGCUCCUCCUGAAGAGGAAGGUGAGCAGGAGGCCUGAAGAGGCUCACAUCUCUUUACUCCUGAACUGGUAAAUAAAUGAAUCGUCCAAUCAAACGUGAAACAGAAGGUUUGAUUCAGCAGCUCAUCAGCUUCUCUGCUUCGUCUCAUGCUGCUCGUGAAUCAAACCUUCUCUGCUGGAUGAACAGUUGAUAAUAAAGACAUCAGUCUUACUCUCUUCACUGAACUGAACCGUUCAUGGAAAAGGUGAGUUAUUAAAUUAAAGAAGGGGUCAGGGAGGGGGGGCUCUGUUCUGGGCUAACCCUGAAGCAGAAAUGAAUAAAAGUCUGCAUCCUGAAAAGCUCGACUCUGGAGAAAAAUAACCCUCCUGCAGCGACAGUGAGAUCAGCUGAACAGACGUUUGGUAAAUUGUUUUUUGGAAAAGUAAAAUUAGAAAUAGAUGAAAGAAGAGUUUGAUCCGUUGAUGAUUGAUUUGUGAAUGAUUGUGUAUCAGACGUGUUGAAUCCUUGUGACUCAGGUUUGUUCUGUUCGUGUCGCGACGCACUUUAUUUCACCUUUUCUAAGCUUUAUUACACCAAUAAACUCGUUCCCACUCAUUAACAUGCGUCCUUUGUUUUAUUGAAGCCGUCAGUGAUGCAGAGGAGCUGGAUCCAUGCUGGUCUUCCUGUUGCAGUGAGUUCACCAGAGUCUGGAUCUUGUUGCGACUCGUCAGAUCUCACCUCGAGCUAAAAAAAGCAGCUACACCUGAGGCGGUUUAUAGAUCACAUGACCACACGCUCCAUCCUUUCUGCUGCUGUUUCUGAGCCGCGUGUUUACAGUCUUUAAAUAUUGAGCUGAAACAGGUUUUAUUGUGGUGGGGUCCGCCAUGGUCCCACAUGACCAUCGCAGACUGUGAGGGAUCAACAGGAAAUAAUGCAGCAUGUGAUCCAGUGUGGCUGCCACUGAUGCACAGGUGCCUUUAAUACGCCGCCAUGCUGCAAGGCGCCGAAGACGAAGACUGCGAGCGCUGAGGUUGUUUGGCGUUGACGCAGCUGAAAGGGGAAGGCGUGUAUGACAUCAUCAUGGCAUCGUGCGACGGACAGACGUCAGCGGUCGGGCCACCUUUGAACAGAGUUACCAUCGUCCUGAUGUACGGCGCCAGUUAUCACGUGACUGAAGCUCUGCAGCAGACUUCAUCCACUGAUGAAGACCAUGAGAUGUGGCUGAAAGCUCAGGAAAAGCUAGUAAGUGGACAUGGAGGUAGGAGGUUUGGUUUUCUAAGUCUGAUGGUUGUGAGAGUCUCUGCUGAACAGGGUGGACGUUG